UACGUAGGGUGCGAGCGUUAAUCGGAAUUACUGGGCGUAAAGCGUGCGCAGGCGGUUCGUUGUGUCGGCGGUGAAAGCCCCGGGCUUAACCUGGGAAUGGCCGUUGAAACUGGCGAACUGGAGUGUGGCAGAGGGGGGUGGAAUUCCGGGUGUAGCGGUGGAAUGCGUAGAGAUCCGGAAGAACACCAGUGGCGAAGGCGGCCCGCUGGGCAGUGGCUGACGCUGAGGCGCGACAGCGUGGGGAGCAAACAGG
rnacentral:rRNA from 1 species